GCAACAGCUAUAGAAGCAGGUGUGGGGAUUUGUCGCGCUGUAGAAUCUCCAGCACAAUUAAGGUCUCUUCAUUUUCCCUCUGUUCACAUUAUUAGCUUACACAUGAGUGCAUUAUUAGCAAGUAACAAAGCCAAACGGGCCCGACAUGGAAGGAGUUGGAGAUAGGGUUCCCCCACUACAGCUGAAAGAUCUGCAGAUGGAAUGCAGUGCCUGAAGUAUCCACUAGGCUUCAUUGUUCAAAUAAUUAGGGAACAGAUGAGGCGUUUUUCUCAUGCAAUAUGAACUGUCAAAAUAAUGGACAGGGUUAAGGGCACCAACCUGUAAGAGAUGCAGAAGAAUAUAUGAUUUUAUUUCAUGUGGAAGUCUUCAUCAUAGGAACUGAAAUUAGGUGAGUUAUGACAGCUGUGUGGAGAGUUGAGAAACAGGAGGGAGAUAUCAGCAUGUUUGGUGGAAAUCUAAAGUUUAAAGCAGUAGAAAAAAUAUUGAGAACCUAAGAAGGAACACCCAGCCAGCCAGCAGCUUAAUGAGGACCAGCAUGUUUUCUGGCUACAGAAUACAAUGCACUUUCGGGAGAUGGGCCCAAGGCACUUUUGCGCCCCCCCCCCAAUGUAUCAUCUCUGGCCCCUGACUCUUUGCAACAUCAUGCAUGUGACAUCAGGCUGUUGCGUUGGGCCCCCUCAAUCAGCUUGAGAAGAUGGUGCCUCUGAUCCCUGGCAUCUCCCGGUACACCUAGGAGCAUCCCUGGUCUGAAAGAGUUUCAGAGCAAACAAUACUGAACUCGCUGGACCAAGGGUCUGACUUUUAAUAGGUAGCAUCUUAGGUUUCUAAAUAUGUUAAAUAUAUACUAUCAGGUUUUGUUUUUCUCAUGUACCUCAAUGUCUGGCCAUGUUUAUGAGAGCUGCUGACUAUGGUGCACAAGAAAACAAGAUGUAUAAUGAGUUCUGUCCUAUUAGACUUUGAAACUGAAAACUCUUGAUAGUUGGCUAAGAAAACACAGCUGUUGUUUUCAAUGGUCAGGAAGAGACUGGAAAGAACAUCACACAAGUGGGUGGACUAGAGAAAUGGCAAAGCUAUAUUAUUGGGUAACCACUGGAAAUGAUGGAUAGCUUCGAGCUAAUUCUACUUACACUUGUUCUUGCCUACUUAGGAGAUGAUAAAAUGUGGGUGGUAGGUGGUAACUAGGCAGAAAUCCUUGCAUCCUAUAGAAACUAACCAGGAACUAGGCCCACUGUACCAGAAAGGCUGUGCACUUUAUUGUGGCAUAAACCAUUGCAGGCUGGAGCCCAUUUCAUAAGAAGAGUAACAACGUUGACCCAAGCCUAAGGCAGCUGCUUCAGAUUGCCUCAUGGGUGGGCCAGCCCUGCUGAGUAGUACUAGCACUGGAUGCAACACACAGUUUUUAAUAAAACUAAGGGAAUAUUCACAAAUAUUUGAAAUUUCCAGUUUUGCCAUACCUAAAGCACAAAGACAUUUGUAGGACAUUAAAGGCAAGCGAGUCUAUCAUGGCAUAAGCUUUCAUGGACUCAUGUCCACCUCAUCCCUUCUAGAAGCUUUUUUGACCAUGACAUUUUGAACUCACAUUCAGAAUAUGAAAUUCUUCCAUAGGUUUUGCAGUUUGAGUGCUUAGACUUGUUGCCACGUUAUGACGGUUGUGACAUCUCUUUAGCCAUAUGGAAUCUCAUCAACUGUUUGCUUUCGAAAGCCAACAAAUUCUAGAAGGGUACCAAUGCUAGCCUGCUCCAGCAAAACAGAAUCCAUCCUUUGUACCCAUGUACAGCCUGCUUGUUGGCAGCACCCAUGUCCAAGAUGCUGCUUGACUUAAUGGGGCCCAGCCUUCUCCAGCAGUCUCAUCCUGCUAUGGAACAGGGGAGGCUCAGGUCAUCCAGGGUCUUGGAGUUCUCAGAGUGAGAAGAUGACAGCGCCACAUUCACAUAUCCCAAAGAUUCCUCUGCUAGCAGCAUCACUGGGGCUGGGUUUGCAUGUCAUUCCUUUUCCUCACCACCACCUGGUGAAGAGGAAUCUGACUCCUGGUUCCUGACUCCCACAGGAAGUCAUGCAUCUCUUUAGAU